rnacentral:rRNA from 1 species
ACGUAAUAGAUACCCAGGUAGUCCAUGCCGUAAACGAUGAGUGCUAAGUGUUAGGGGGUUUCCGCCCCUUAGUGCUGCAGCUAAACGCAUUAAGCACUCCGCCUGGGGAGUACGACCGCAAGGUUGAAACUCAAAGGAAUUGACGGGGGGCCCGCACAAGCGGUGGAGCAUGUGGUUUAAUUCGAAGCAACGCGAAGAACCUUACCAGGUCUUGACAUCCCAGUGACCGCUCUAGAGACAGAGUUUUCCCUUCGGGGACAUUGGUGACAGGUGGUGCAUGGUUGUCGUCAGCUCGUGUCGUGAGAUGUUGGGUUAAGUCCCGCAACGAGCGCAACCCUUGAUCUUAGUCGCCAUCAUUUAGUUGGGCACUCUAAGGUGACUGCCGGUGACAAACCGGAGGAAGGUGGGGAUGACGUCAAAUCAUCAUGCCCCUUAUGACCUGGGCUACACACGUGCUACAAUGGACGGUACAAAGAGUCGCUAACUCGCGAGAGUACGCUAAUCUCAUAAAACC